rnacentral:rRNA from 1 species
GAUGAACGCUGGCGGCAUGCCUAACACAUGCAAGUCGAUCGGUAAGGCUCUUCUUAGUACACGAGAGGCUGACGGCUGAGUAACUCGUAGGAACACACCCUGCAGUUAGGGAUAAGACACCGAAAGGUGAUCUAAUACCGCACACGGUCUUCGCAUUAAAGCAUUUAUGCGCUGUAGGAGCGGCCUGCGUCAUUUUAUAUAGUUGGUGAGGUAAUGGCUCACCGAGUCGAUGAUGUGUAGCUGGUCUGAGAGGAUGACCAGCCAGACUUGAACUGAGACACGGUCCAGACUCGUACGGGGGGCAGCAGUGAGGAAUAUUUCACGAGGAGCGCAAGCUUGAUGGAGCCAUGCCGCGUGCAGGAUGAAGGGCCUCGUGUUGUAAACUGCUUUUAUAAGAGAAGAUUAUGACGGUAACUUAUGAAUAAGGGACGGCUAACUACGUG